rnacentral:rRNA from 1 species
GACGGAGGGUGCAAGCGUUGUCCGGAUUUAUUGGGUUUAAAGGGUACGUAGGCGGAUUUUUAAGUCCGUGGUGAAAGCCUACAGCUUAACUGUAGAACUGCCAUGGAUACUGGAAAUCUUGAGUUCAGUUGAGGUAAGCGGAAUUUAUGAUGUAGCGGUGAAAUGCAUAGAUAUCAUAAAGAACACCUAUUGCGAAGGCAGCUUACUGGACUUGGACUGACGCUAAGGUACGAAAGCGUGGGGAGCGAACAGG